CCGGGUCUCGGCCGGUUCCCCGUCGGCCAGGUGGAGCUGCAGGGCAACGCCACGAGUCUGCGGGCCCGCGUGGGGAGCCGCGCACCGGCCCCCGGCCAACCCCAGUUCGACGACAUGUUGGGCGUCUCACUCCGGGACCCGUCCCUGCUCCUGACCAUCACCGUCAUUGGGGUCACUGUGCUCGUGUUGGUCCUGAAGAGCAUGAACUCCAGGAGGAGAAAGCCAAUCACCUUACAGGACCCUGAAGCCAAGUACCCGCUGCCCUUGAUUGAGAAAGAGAAAAUCAGCCACAACACCCGGAGGUUCCGCUUUGGACUGCCUUCGCCGGACCAUGUCUUAGGGCUUCCCGUAGGUAACUAUGUCCAGCUCUUGGCAAAAAUUGAUAAUGAAUUGGUGGUCAGAGCUUACACGCCUGUUUCCAGUGAUGAUGACAGAGGCUUUGUGGACCUAAUUAUAAAGAUCUACUUCAAAAAUGUACACCCCCAAUAUCCUGAAGGGGGGAAGAUGACUCAGUAUUUGGAGAACAUGAAAAUCGGGGACACCAUCUUUUUUCGAGGGCCAAAGGGACGCUUGUUUUACCAUGGGCCAGGGAAUCUUGGAAUCAGACCAGACCAGACGAGUGAGCCGAAAAACAAACUGGCCGAUCACCUGGGAAUGAUUGCUGGGGGCACAGGCAUCACACCCAUGUUGCAGCUCAUUCGCCACAUCACCAAGCACCCCAGUGACAGGACCAGGAUGUCCCUCAUCUUUGCCAACCAGACAGAGGAGGAUAUCUUGGUCAAAAAAGAGCUUGAAGACAUUGCCAGGACUCACCCAGACCAGUUCGACCUGUGGUACACCCUGGACAGGCCUCCCAUUGGCUGGAAGUACAGCUCAGGCUUCAUUACUGCCGACAUGAUCAAGGAGCACCUUCCUCCUCCGGGGAAGUCCACGCUCAUCCUGGUGUGUGGCCCGCCACCCUUGAUCCAGACGGCGGCUCACCCUAACCUGGAGAAGCUGGGUUAUACCCAGGACAUGAUUUUCACCUACUAACAGCUCCAUGUGCUCAGCAAACUUGCAUGUCCCUUUUCAUCUGUUUCAGACAGGUUUUAUGAACUAACAGCUCUUCCCCUUGGGUGUGAGAGCCUCCAGGCUGUCACCAGGAAUAGCACGAGCCAUCGAGUCCGUGUGCUGAUAUCUCACUGCCCUCCCACAAAAGCGGUCUGCAGUCCACGUAUGAAAGUACAAAAGGUAUGAAGCUUGUGGUGAAAAGCGCAGCAUGGUUGAAGACACACAUGGACCCUGGGGCCACCCCUGGACGCCUGUCCCACAGCUCUGCUUCGUGCCUGUCGGCACCCUGUCCAAGACACCCUACCAGCCCGGACUGGGCUUGCAGAGGGGGCUGUGUGCCAGCUUCCCACAGAAGUAAAGGCUCCGGGCCCCCACACAUGCCUCUCUACACUCUCAGCCACGAAGAAAGUCAUCUCCAGUCAUCAGAGUCGGGGGCAGGCAGGCGAGAGUCAUUCAGCAGCUGGUCCUGGCUCAGCAUUGUCUGAAAAGGACACAGCCGAAGGGUCAGUUUAAUAGAGUUUUGGUCCAGGCUGCCUCACGGCAGCUGCAUGGGAACUAGAAGGCACUGGGUGAGGGCCGCAUCUGACGCAGGUGCACUAUAAGUUUAUAGUGUCCCAAGAAACCCUGAGUAUUGGGUCAGAAUAAACAACACUAUUAAGAUAAAAAUAAAUUGUUCAUCUUAGAAAUAAAUGUUCUAUUUUCAGGCCACCAAAGGCCUAGAUCAUAAGGGCAGGCAUAGGCAGAUUCCUUUCAUGGGUGGGCCAAUAAAUAAAAACGUUGAGUAAAAGUGA